rnacentral:lncRNA from 1 species
UUGAGUUCUCUAAUGGGCUCGCCAAGGUGUUGAAGCCCGACGAGGGAAUGAUGAUCUGCAGCAGGCCUGAAAAAUAGAAGAAAGAGUUUCUCAAGGUUAUGGAGAUAAGAGCAUUAAGAGUACCAACAUUAUAACUCACCUGAAGAAUCUCAAAAGUCUGAACGUUCAAGUACUGGCCGACUACUCGGUUUGAAACUCUACUGCUACAAUACUUUGGGUGGAAAAUUUCAUUUUUUUGUUCAAUAAUUAAGUUAGAAUCUCAUUUGAUUUU